rnacentral:lncRNA from 1 species
CUGCUAACGUGGGAUCGAGGAAUUUGUUCUAUAUUAUUGAUAAACAUUAUUCCUCUAACAAUAGGUGACCAUCUACUCACUCUACAGAAAACACUGAGUAAGGAACUGGGACCAGAACCAGCUACACCACCUCCAUGACUGAGUGCAAACCUUGUCCUGAGCAGAACAGGCAGUGGCUCUUUGAGCUGUUUCAUCAUCUGGCUCACCUGACAUCCUCCCGUGGACAACCAUUAUGUGAACGAUGGACAGCCGAGAUGCCUUUUUGGAACAGCCCCAAUGAAAGCAGAUAAAUUCUACACUGGCCUGCAUUUCCUCCCACGCACCGUAUCCCUUCCAUACGGACCACUGCACAUACUGAAGGCUGCUUAAUGGAGGACACAGCAAAGCUCCUCUGUAUGACAAAGGCAUGCUGGUGAUAAUAACAUGAUCUGUACUCGUGCAUUCAUUAAGUAAAACUUAUUCUUAUACCCAGAUUUACCAAUAAGGAAGCCCAUGAAAAUAAAGGUUUAAAAGAUCUGCCAGAAUUGUGCUGUAAAUGGUGAUGUUAGAUUCCCAGUCUGAGCUCCCAUAGGAGUUCCCUCUGUCUCUGUGCCCUGACGAUGCUGUGAUCUUAAAACCAUGUUCUCAUCCUUGUUAUCUUAUCAAUUAUUU